rnacentral:rRNA from 1 species
GACGAACGCUGGCGGCGUGCUUAACACAUGCAAGUCGAACGGAAAGGCCCUGCUUUUGUGGGGUGCUCGAGUGGCGAACGGGUGAGUAACACGUGAGUAACCUGCCCUUGACUUUGGGAUAACUUCAGGAAACUGGGGCUAAUACCGGAUAGGAGCUCCUGCUGCAUGGUGGGGGUUGGAAAGUUUCGGCGGUUGGGGAUGGACUCGCGGCUUAUCAGCUUGUUGGUGGGGUAGUGGCUUACCAAGGCUUUGACGGGUAGCCGGCCUGAGAGGGUGACCGGCCACAUUGGGACUGAGAUACGGCCCAGACUCCUACGGGAGGCAGGAGUGGGGAAUAUUGCACAAUGGCGGAAGCCUGAUGCAGCAACGCCGCGUGCGGGAUGACGGCCUUCGGGUUGUAAACCGCUUUCGCCUGUGACGAAGCGUGAGUGACGGUAAUGGGUAAAGAAGCACCGGCUAACUACGUG